rnacentral:rRNA from 1 species
AACGAACGCUGGCGGCAUGCCUAACACAUGCAAGUCGAACGAGACCUUCGGGUCUAGUGGCGCACGGGUGCGUAACGCGUGGGAACCUGCCCUUAGGUUCGGAAUAACUCCCCGAAAGGGGUGCUAAUACCGGAUAAUGUCUUCGGACCAAAGAUUUAUCGCCUUUGGUUGGGCCCGCGUUGGAUUAGCUAGUUGGUAGGGUAAAAGCCUCCCAAGGCGACGAUCCAUAGCUGGUCUGAGAGGAUGAUUAGCCACACUGGGACUGAGACACGGCCCAGACUCCUACGGGAGGCAGCAGUGGGGAAUAUUGGACAAUGGGCGAAAGCCUGAUCCAGCAAUGCCGCGUGAGUGAUGAAGGCCGUAGGGUUGUAAAGCUCUUUUACCCGGGAUGAUAAUGACAGUACCGGGAGAAUAAGCUCCGGCUAACUCCGUG